AUCAUAACCAUGAAGACAAACUAAUUAUUUCAAAACUAAACUCAUGUAAACAGCUUUUGGCGCGAAAAAUAUUAUUGUUUCAUUUAAAUCCGUUGUAGAAAUGUGGCGGCUACUUCUCUUUUUUGUCGGUGUUCUGUCUGUUUGUCUGUGCAAUCCUAGUGUUCUUUUUGGGCUAAACAAUAAUGGAGUGGCUAUGAGAUGCGGUGUGUUGCCGUCACUCUUCCCCAGUUUCCAGGGUAAAAUGGGAUUCAAUGACGCAAUAAGAGGCUUUUUCCCGGAAAGACUUUUCGAUAUGAACAAUAUCAACAACGACCGAUAGGACUACAUUGAAAACAGGGUGCCAAUUAAUAAAAAAAAAAGAGCUAUUUUUAGCUGUCUGUGCAAAUUUUGUUUUAUUUUCAAAUUUUAACACAUUUUUUUUUUUCAGAAAUCAUUCUAUAUACAAAGAAAAUACUCUGAAAACAAAAUACUAAGUUAGUUUUUUCAACUUCUUGAGAUUAGCUUUUUUUAAUGUAUGGCUUAACUCAGGGAGUAUUAGCCAAAGACGAGUUGAGUUAAAUAAAGCGCAGGAAACUAUCUAUAAUAUCACGAC